GAUGAACGCUAGCUACAGGCUUAACACAUGCAAGUCGAGGGGUAACGAGAGGAAAGCUUGCUUUCCUUGUCGACGACCGGCGCACGGGUGAGUAACGCGUAUCCAACCUGCCCCCAACUAGGGAAUAACCUUGCGAAAGUAAGACUAAUACCCUAUACUUUCCUCAGAUGACAUCUGACGAGGAAUAAAGAUUUAUCGGUUGUGGAUGGGGAAGCGUCUAGUUAGCUUGUUGGCGGGGUAACGGCCCACCAAGGCAACGAUCAGUAGGGGUGCUGAGAGGAAGGUCCCCCACAUUGAAACUGAGACACGGUCCAAACUCCUACGGGAGGCAGCAGUGAGGAAUAGUGGUCAAUGGGCGGAAGCCUGAACCAGCCAAGUAGCGUGCAGGAUGACGGCCCUAUGGGUUGUAAACUGCUUUUAUACAGGAAUAAAGUUAGCCACGUGUGGUUAUUUGUAGGUACUGUAUGAAUAAGGACCGGCUAAUUCCGUGCCAGCAGCCGCCGUAA
rnacentral:rRNA from 1 species